AAAGAAUUAGUUAAAUAAAUAACAUUAGAAUGUCAAACUGAAAUUAUUAAUCUUAUAAUAUUCUUUA
rnacentral:tRNA from 1 species